rnacentral:rRNA from 1 species
GCCUAUGGCCAUACCACCCUGAGAACUCCCCAUCUCGGAAGCUAAGCAGGAUCGGGCACGGUUAGUACUUGGAUGGGAGACCGCCUGGGAAAACCGGUAGCUGUAGGCU